rnacentral:rRNA from 1 species
UACGUAGGUGGCAAGCGUUGUCCGGAUUUAUUGGGCGUAAAGCGAGCGCAGGCGGUUCCUUAAGUCUGAUGUGAAAGCCCCCGGCUCAACCGGGGAAGGUCAUUGGAAACUGGGGAACUUGAGUGCAGAAGAGGAGAGUGGAAUUCCAUGUGUAGCGGUGAAAUGCGUAGAUAUAUGGAGGAACACCAGUGGCGAAGGCGACUCUCUGGUCUGUAACUGACGCUGAGGCUCGAAAGCGUGGGGAGCAAACAGG